UGCGUAGGGGGCAAGCGUUGUCCGGAAUCAUUGGGCGUAAAGAGCGUGUAGGCGGUCCGGUAAGUCGGUUGUGAAAGCCCAGGGCUCAACCCUGGGAUGCCGACCGAUACUGUCGGACUAGAGUUCGGAAGAGGCGAGUGGAAUUCCCGGUGUAGCGGUGAAAUGCGCAGAUAUCGGGAGGAACACCUAUGGCGAAGGCAGCUCGCUGGGACGUUACUGACGCUGAGACGCGAAAGCGUGGGGAGCAAACAGG
rnacentral:rRNA from 1 species